GCCAGGAGAGGGGUGGGUCUGCUCCUUACCUGGCCAGGUGGAGGCAGGCCUCUCCCAGCACUGGGGGCCACUGGCACCUGCGAUGCUCUUCAGUCUCUGCCUGGACUCCCAGGCCACUGCCCAGCACAGAGACAGCCUCGCCUGGCAUUUCUCCCUCCUCCUCCUCCUCCUCCUUGUCCUCCUCCUCCUCCUCGUCCUCCUCUGUCUGCAGUUGCUAAGUUACACCAAAAAACCCCUCUGCUCUGUGUGAACUGUUCCAUUUCCACGAUUUGCCAGGUGGAAGGCAGCCAUCAGGCUGAGAGCUUGAAGACACCUUCCGGAGAAAAACAAACUGGCUGGCCGGCCUGCUGUCCCUUGUGGCACACCUGGCUGUCACCUGCCUGGACUCCCAAACCUGGGGUCCGCGUGCACAGCUUCAAGGCAUCGCCAUGGAGCCUGGGGGAGGGGGAGGGGGUCCCCGCUGCUCACUCCUUCCCAGUGAAGGGGCCUGUGCACGACCUCGGGACAAGGACCACCCAGAGAGCGGCCCGGUUCUCUGGACAAAGGCUUCUGAGGGGCAGAGAAGGCACCCCCACUUCCUGGCUGGGGUCCCCACCACCGCACAGCAAGGCGGAAAUCGUCUCCAAACCGGGGAAACCACAGGGUCAUUCUCCCGCUGGGGAAAGAGUCUCGGCGGGUGUCCCACCCCUCAGCCGGCUACGGCUCUGCUCUCCUGGGGCCAGAGCGCCUCGGUGCAGGGGAGGCAGGGUUGUGAUGGUCCCCCGUGCGCCUCCCAGCGCCUUGGCCCCCUGGCAGGGCCCUGCCCUCGCCUUAGAGGGGAGGGUGAACCCCAGGAGGGCUCGCUGCCCUGCGCAGGGAAGCAGAGAACCAAGACUACCGCCACACCUCAGCCCCCAGGAAGCACCCACCAGCCUCAGCGCUCAGACCUGGCCAGGGACCUGCCAGGGGUCCCUCCGAAAGCCGCCGCAGGAGACUCCCUCACUUAGGCAAAGUCGGACCAGGGCCAGCUCCGCCUGCCCCGACUCCGCCCCCCGCCAAGGCCUGGGAUACAGGCAGAUCAGGCGCAGGGGCAGAGGGGCGCGCGUCGCCGUGGCCUGGCCCUGUCCCUCCCCUGCAGCGCUAGCUCCCCAAUGCCUCGCCACACAGCCAGAGCGCGCGACGCCGCGGCGGAGCCCGCAACGCACAGGAGCAAAUGGAAACUUCCAACUGCGCAGCCCCGAGCUCCGCGGAUUCCCCGGCCCCCUCCCCCACGCCAGGCCCCAGGGCAGCGGACCCGCCUGCCGCGUGCGCUCCCGCCACGCCUGCCCGGGGCCCCCCGCAGGGGCAGGGGGCGCGAGGAGGGUCCCCGCGCCGUCCAGCCCCGGGCAGAGUUGA
rnacentral:lncRNA from 1 species